rnacentral:rRNA from 1 species
GACGGGGCCCGCACAAGCGGAGGAACAUGUGGUUUAAUUCGAUGAUACGCGAGGAACCUUACCUGGGCUUAAAUGUAGAGUGCAUUUUUUAGAGAUAGAAAUUCCCUUCGGGGCUUUCUGCAAGGUGCUGCAUGGUUGUCGUCAGCUCGUGCCGUGAGGUGUCGGGUUAAGUCCCAUAACGAGCGCAACCCUUAUCGUUAGUUGCCAUCUGGUAAUGCAGGGGACUCUAGCGAAACUGCCACCGUAAGGUGAGAGGAAGUGGGGAUGACGUCAAAUCAGCACGGCCCUUAUGUCCAGGGCUACACACGUGUUACAAUGGUCGGUACAGAGGGCAGCUACCUGGUGACAGGAUGCUAAUCUCGAAAACCGGUCUCAGUUCGGAUCGAAGUCUGCAACUCGACUUCGUGAAGCUGGAUUCGCUAGUAAUCGCGCAUCAGCUAUGGCGCGGUGAAUACGUUCCCGGGCCUU